CGGUGAGCUGGCACAUCUCAAAGCAAAAAAAAGGUUGGUGAAGGAACCAGUUUUCAUCUGAUCGUUGUUGCCGAAAUGUUGAAGAACGUCGACAAUAUUGUCAAACGAAGAAUUCACGCAACGUCGGCUACGGAUACAGGAAUUCCAGAGAUUAUCCCAUAAUCGUGCCUUCACAGCAGAUGCUCGAAAAUCGAAAAUCGAAAUAUUAAUGGAGAGGAGGAUAACGAAACCAGCUACGUCGGUUUAGCUGAUGAGCUAUUUCAGUAGUUGAACCCGAUUCGACCCGAUGAUUGAACCCGUGAACCUAAAGCACGAUUCAUGAUGCACUUAGUGUUGCCUAACGAGUGCGGGAAGGCCAAAAGUUGUUGCUGGUUGCGGACUAAUAUGGAAAAUGUACCUAUUUUUCUCAGUUCCUGGGAGCAUUUGACAUUGUCGAAUUCGCAGAAUCUCGCUGUGAAUGCUGCCUAGGGCUAAUCGGGUAGCUGCAUGCUCAGCUCAAUUCAUCCCACCCCAAGGAGAAGCAUGCCAGCCACAAGUGGUGCUGACUAAAUUUACAUGAAAAGUUUAGGGAUCACAUCAAGGGUGGUGCGCUAGAAUUCUCAAAAUCUCUUUCGCAUCGGGAGCCGCUUGUAUGGCUGCAAAAAUGGCACUGUGUUGCCGUCUCGUCACUUGAAAAGUAAUCUGAUGCAUCUAGUCUAGUGUUCAACUUAAAUGUUUCAAUUUCGAACGAUUCGUUGUUGCGGUGCAUCUGCACAGAUCGAUACCUUCAGUGUUACGGAAACGGAGGAACCCGAACAGGUGUUAGUGGUGGUUGUGCUGGUAAAGGUAGCUUGCUGCCGUUGAUAGUAGUAAUAGACAUGAGAGAACCAAGAGCUGAAGAGCGCUUGCAGAUGUAAAGAAGCGAAUCGACAAUGUGAAUCCAGCGAAAACCAAUAAUCUGCUCUCCCCGGAGCCAUCGUUAGCCGUCCUAGACGUUCUGUAUGAGUAAGUUUCUAUUUUAUUUUAAGUUCUCUUUCGCACCCGAUGAGGGACAUUUGGAGCAUUACCCGAACACACUUUAAAAGCAAAAUAAGCUAUCACGCCCUAAGAGUGAGUGAAAUUUGCUCUCAAUACACAGAAAAAAUUAAAGCAAAAUUUUCGUGUUUGGUAAGCAAAGUGAUGCACCACUGCACCUCAUUUUUCAAAAGAUUUGAGAGCAUAAUGAUGGCAAAUUCUGCUAUAAUUGAAGACUAUGUGAUGCCUUGUAUUGACAUCAUUGUGCUCUCCAAGCUCUCGGAAAACGAGGUGUAGUUCGGGUCUCAUUUUUAGCAAAAUUUGGUAUCACUUUGCUAACCAAGUAUGAAAA